AUGGACCCGUGCCCGUUCGUGCGGGUGCUGGUCGGCAACCUGGCCCUCAAAAUGCCGGUCGCCCCGCGCCCCGCCGGCGCCGGCGCCGGCGUGCACCCCACCACCUCGCCGUGCUACUGCACGAUCCGGCUCAACAAGCUGCCGCUUCAGACUGCCGCGGCCCCGCUGCUGCCCUCGGACGACAUGACGCAGGGUCCCGCCGCGACGGGCGCACUGGCGGCCGCCUUCCACCUCUCCAAGGCCGACCUCGACCGCGUCACGGCCAAGCCGUCCCUGUUCGUCGCCCGAUCUGCGAGGCUCAAGGUUGCCGUGUACGCCGGGCGGCGGGGCACCACUUGCGGGGUCAACUCCGGCCGGCUGCUCGGGAAGGUGGUCAUCCCGCUGGACCUCAAGACCGCGGUGGGGAAGCCCAUUGUGUUCCACAGCGGCUGGCUCUCCAUCAACAAGCGCGGCCGUAAGGCCUCUGCCGUCUCCGGCUCCGCGCAGCUUAACCUCACCGUUCGCGCCGAGCCCGACCCGCGCUUCGUGUUCCAGUUCGAUGGCGAACCUGAGUGCAGCCCGCAAGUGCUCCAGGUGCAGGGCGGCAUGAUGCAGCCCAUGUUCACCUGCAAGUUCUCCUGUCGCAGCAACAGCGACCUCCGCUCUCGAUCAAUGCACUCCGAUCCAGGGAGUGGCAGCCGCAACUGGCUGAUGUCCUUCGGUUCCGACCGCGAGCGCGCAGGGAAGGAGCGGAAGGGAUGGUCGGUGACGGUGCACGACCUGUCGGGUUCGCCAGUGGCACUGGCGUCCAUGGUGACGCCGUUUGUGGCGUCCCCCGGUUCCGACCGCGUGAGCCGGUCCAACCCGGGCGCGUGGCUUGUACUCCGGCCCGGCGACGGCACUUGGAAGCCGUGGGGCCGCCUGGAAUGCUGGCGCGAGCGUGGCGCUGGCGCGGCCGGCGACAGCCUCGGGUACCGGUUCGAGCUCCUGAUUCCUGACCCAACCGGAAUGGGCGUCGGCGUCUCUGUCGCCGAGUCCAACGUCCCUUCCUCCCGCGGGGGGCGCUUCGUCAUCGACCUGACGGCGGCGCAGCCCUUCGGCCGGAGCGGGUCGCCUGGGUGCAGCCCGCGCGGGAGUGGUGACUUCAGCGGCGGGUAUGGUCUCUGGCCCUUCGGGAGCUACCGCGGGUUCGUGAUGUCGGCGGCAGUGCAGGGCGAAGGGCGGUGCAGCCGGCCAACGGUGGAGGUGGGGGUGCCGCACGUCGGGUGCGCGGAGGACGCGGCGGCGUUCGUGGCGCUGGCGGCAGCCGUGGACCUGAGCAUGGACGCGUGCAGGCUCUUCUCGCACCGCCUCCGGAGGGAGCUCUCCAGCACCCGCUCCGACCCACUGCGGUGA
rnacentral:rRNA from 1 species